rnacentral:lncRNA from 1 species
CUAGCUGCUUCUUCCUCAACUGAACCUCCAACGACGCCACCGCUCCACUCGAUCAUUCUCCGUCUCUGUUUUCUGGAUAAGAGAUGCCUCCAGGGCCUCCUCCCUGGACACAGGCAAAAAAAAAAAGGCCAACGGACUCGCAAAGAAUAACAUGCUGAAAACAAAAAUCAAUAAGGCAAGCAGGCCCAACUAUACAACAAGGCUGGCUGUACGAAUCUGGAGAAAAAUCAUGCGAUCAGAAAAUCAACUGUGCCCCAACUGAAAAACAACUGCCUGUUUUUUAGAGAAGUUUUUUUUAGCACACCAACAAUAAUUCACAGCUGAACUAAAUGAUGAAAUGUUUAUACAAGUGGACUUGCCAUAACCUCUUUUUUUCGAGAAAACGCAAAAGAGUUUGCAUUUCAUUGCAUUGAACAAGAAGACAUCAGGGGUACAACCUCCAGAAAAGAGGGACACACACAACCGUCCUCACCAAGUGAGGACGGCUAGGUGAGGAGGUGCCCUCAACCACAGACACACAACGACAUUAGGCCUCGCCCAGCCUUGCCUCCAGCCAAAAUGGCGAGGCACCGAGACUCGAAACAACCGGACAGCAUCACUGCCAUUGCCAGACGCUUCCAGGGAUGAAUGUAGCUUCAGGACUGCCCAGGCCGACGUAUCUCACACCCAUGUGCCUGAGAGUCGGCGGGUGAAAGGCAGGGCCUGAUUGGAACUGGUGUAGCAUUCGUUGGGGGAGCGCCGGCGCGGGCAUAACCUAACAAUCAACUAUAAGGCAAUGCAUCGAGCUGUAUGCUCAGCUUAGAUUUGCAGGGAGGAGCUCACACCAUUUACCAAGAAUUGAUGCAGCUGAAACUAUAAUAUAGCAUCUAUUCCGCAGAAAAAUGUCCAUACAAGAGAUGAGCCAAGUCAACACCCAACCUGUUCACAUGACACAAAUUGGUCAAAGACAUGCACAAGCUUCUCAAGCUGACACGUAAAUCCAUAUAUAAACACAGGCUCCAGUUCUAACCACUGAAGCAAGUACAUUCACGUAUUAACCAAGUCUCCAAACAUGGAAAUAGCAACAAAUGCUCCCUCCGUCCGAAAAUACUUGUCAUCAAAAUGGAUAAAAAGGGGUGUAUCUAGAACUAAAAUUCGUCUAGGUACAUCUUCUUUUAUCCAUUUUGAUGACAAGUAUUUCCGGACGGAGGGAGUAAUAUUCAAACAUGAACCAAGUCAAUGCCCAAACUUAGCAUCUCACACUCAACUGAUGAGCAUACAUGACAUCUAAGAUGAAGCAUCAGCUUGGUAACCAAGACAGAAGUUCACUGUCUGGCAUCUGCCACGGCAACCUUCAGAAUCUCCAGCAUGAAAUUCUACUUAUCAGAUAACAUGUACAGCCUGUAAGAGAACAAGGAUGUGAGAAAAACAUAUAACAGAACAAGUUGUACACAUAUUUUUUGCAAUAGCCAAAUGGAAGAACAUCUAUGGAAUAAUACAACAAAUCAUAACAUCAUGGAGUUUCGCAGUGCCCAGCAGCGAACCUUUGGAAUAAACAAACAUAUUGGCUAGCAGAGCUUAAGGCACCAGCUUUCUGUACUAACCCAAAUAUAUGUACUCCAGUUCUUUCACGAAAGCUAUGUGACACCCAUCAGAUCAUUAGUUCCCGAAAACAAAGACAAGUGCAGGUGCCAUGCCAGCUCUCAUACCGGUUAAUCGUUGCGAUCAGGUUAAGUAACUGAAUAAAUUAUAAGCAGUUGACAAAAGGUUGCUUCUUCAGGCCGUCCCAAGUAUAAUUAAGCAGUGCUCGUGUAAAAUACUAGUGCAGUUAUGCUCAUAUGACUUGUCGAGAUCAGAGAUAGAUCUUUCAUUUUGGUCCUAUGCCAAGAUAAGUUUCCACACUAGGAACAUGUUAAUAUCAGUUCUGCUUGCACAAAUUUAAACAGUGUAACUUCAGAGCAGACAUGCAAGAUUGGGAGAUUAGUCUUCAGCCUGUAGCAAGAUUGAGAAGAAUGCAUUCUUGAACAGGUCAUUGCCACAUCUAUGUAUACAAUUAAAGAAAGUGAUUCAUUUUUUAAUUCCUAUCAGUCAUGGCGUGGUGUUCUUGGUCAGGGCAUUUGUUUUAUAUAUUAAAAGUGUGCUACUAAUACCAGUAAGGUAGAAGAAUCGGAUGAAAAUACUCCCUCCGUUCCUAAAUACAAGUCUUUCUAGAGAUUCCAAUAGGGACUACAUACAGAACAAAAUGAGUGUAGCUCCGUAUGUAGUCCCUAUUGGAAUCUCUAGAAAGACUUAUAUUUAGGAACGGAGGGAGUAUUUUACAUGAAUGUUUAAAAUGUUAGAACAUUAGCUAGCACCUUGUUGCUACGAAAGAAAAAAUUGGUGCGACCUAAAAGAGUGAAUAGUAUUUUAUUUAAACAUGCACAAUUUGUUAAUUUUAGCACAGAGAUCAGCUCAGUUUCUAAUGGACAACGAGAACCAUUAACUGUUACAUAUAAGGAAAAAUAAGUGAUAGAAAUGAAGCUUUCAACUUAUUGGGAUAAAAGAAAAGGCAUAGUGAGACUAGCGGCUGCAGGAAUGGACAUAUUUUUUCCUAAACUUUAGUACGUGACUAAUAUCCAAAAGAAAGCUUAUACAAUCUUGACAAAAAAUAGUAGCAUGGACUUGUAUAUUUUUUUCUUUCUUCGAGAGAAAUUUCUGUAAGGCAGCCUACAUCAUUUUAUUUGAACUGAUUGACUAGAGCUAGUCCACAUGAAUGGCUUACCUCAAAGAUCCUAAAACCUAGUUUGUGUUCAAGCAAGUGAAGAAGAAAACACAUCAGAAGAUAAGUUAAAUGGUAGAAGAGGGAAACUGGAUUAAGCUGGCAUCAAGAACGUACACAAAUAUUCAUGGUUGCUAGCACAAAUAAUUAGCAGAAAAAUAGUACUAGUGACUUGCCUUGAUUAAGAUCUUUUAGUUCCAUUUUGGUAAAUACAUCCACCGCUUUUCCAGCUAUGGGCUCCUUUUCAAUUGAUAAAAAGGGCAACCUGGUGCAUGUAGCUCCCGCUUGCGCAGGGUCCAGGGAAGGGUCCGACCACUUUGGGUCUAUAGUACGCAGCCUUUCCCUACAUUUCUGUGGCUCCUUUUCAAUUGAUAAAAAAAGGGCAACCUGGUGCAUGUAGCUCCCGCUUGCGCAGGGUCCAGGGAAGGGUCCGACCACUUUGGGUCUAUAGUACGCAGCCUUUCCCUACAUUUCUGUAAGAGGCUGUUUCCAGGACUUGAACCCAUGACCUCAUGGUCACAAGGCAGCAGCUUUACCACUGCGCCAAGGCUCCCCUUCCUCCUUUUCAAUUGAUAAGGAAAGAAAAUUGUGUGGUGAAUAAAAGUGCAUACAGCAAAUUGCAAAAGGAGAUAUGACAGUAGAGAGAACUGAAACCUGGGAGACAGACAUCCAGUAAUUUUUCUAAAUGAUCGAACUCUGGCUAGCUCUAGCAGCUUCUUCCUCAACUGAACCUCCAACGACAAUGCCACUCCAAUCCAUCAUUCCCCCUGCCUCUGUUCUGGAUAAGAGAUGCCUCCAUGGGCCUCCUUCCUGGAUGCAGGCAGAGAAAAAGACAAACGGGCGCCCAAAGUAUAACGGGCUGAAAACAAAAACCAAUAAGGCAAGCAGGCCCGAUAAUACAAACAAGGCUGGCAGUACAAAUCUGGAGAAAAUCGUGGGAUCAGAAAAUCAAGCCCCAAUUGAAAACAGUCAACUGUUUUCUAGGAAAAAUAC